rnacentral:rRNA from 1 species
UUAAGCGACUAAGCGUACACGGUGGAUGCCCUGGCAGUCAGAGGCGAUGAAGGACGUGCUAAUCUGCGAUAAGCGUCGGUGAGGUGAUAUGAACCGUUAUAACCGGCGAUUUCCGAAUGGGGAAACCCAGUGUGUUUCGACACACUAUCAUUAACUGAAUCCAUAGGUUAAUGAGGCGAACCGGGGGAACUGAAACAUCUAAGUACCCCGAGGAAAAGAAAUCAACCGAGAUUCCCCCAGUAGCGGCGAGCGAACGGGGAGGAGCCCAGAGCCUGAAUCAGUGUGUGUGUUAGUGGAAGCGUCUGGAAAGGCGUGCGAUACAGGGUGACAGCCCCGUACACAAAAAUGCACAUAUUGUGAGCUCGAUGAGUAGGGCGGGACACGUGGUAUCCUGUCUGAAUAUGGGGGGACCAUCCUCCAAGGCUAAAUACUCCUGACUGACCGAUAGUGAACCAGUACCGUGAGGGAAAGGCGAAAAGAACCCCGGCGAGGGGAGUGAAAAAGAACCUGAAACCGUGUACGUACAAGCAGUGGGAGCCUCUUAAUGGGGUGACUGCGUACCUUUUGUAUAAUGGGUCAGCGACUUAUAUUCUGUAGCAAGGUUAACCGAAUAGGGGAGCCGAAGGGAAACCGAGUCUUAACUGGGCGUUAAGUUGCAGGGUAUAGACCCGAAACCCGGUGAUCUAGCCAUGGGCAGGUUGAAGGUUGGGUAACACUAACUGGAGGACCGAACCGACUAAUGUUGAAAAAUUAGCGGAUGACUUGUGGCUGGGGGUGAAAGGCCAAUCAAACCGGGAGAUAGCUGGUUCUCCCCGAAAGCUAUUUAGGUAGCGCCUCGUGAAUUCAUCUCCGGGGGUAGAGCACUGUUUCGGCAAGGGGGUCAUCCCGACUUACCAACCCGAUGCAAACUGCGAAUACCGGAGAAUGUUAUCACGGGAGACACACGGCGGGUGCUAACGUCCGUCGUGAAGAGGGAAACAACCCAGACCGCCAGCUAAGGUCCCAAAGUCAUGGUUAAGUGGGAAACGAUGUGGGAAGGCCCAGACAGCCAGGAUGUUGGCUUAGAAGCAGCCAUCAUUUAAAGAAAGCGUAAUAGCUCACUGGUCGAGUCGGCCUGCGCGGAAGAUGUAACGGGGCUAAACCAUGCACCGAAGCUGCGGCAGCGACGCUUAUGCGUUGUUGGGUAGGGGAGCGUUCUGUAAGCCUGUGAAGGUGUGCUGUGAGGCAUGCUGGAGGUAUCAGAAGUGCGAAUGCUGACAUAAGUAACGAUAAAGCGGGUGAAAAGCCCGCUCGCCGGAAGACCAAGGGUUCCUGUCCAACGUUAAUCGGGGCAGGGUGAGUCGACCCCUAAGGCGAGGCCGAAAGGCGUAGUCGAUGGGAAACAGGUUAAUAUUCCUGUACUUGGUGUUACUGCGAAGGGGGGACGGAGAAGGCUAUGUUGGCCGGGCGACGGUUGUCCCGGUUUAAGCGUGUAGGCUGAUUUUCCAGGCAAAUCCGGAAAAUCAAGGCUGAGGCGUGAUGACGAGGCACUACGGUGCUGAAGCGACAAAUGCCCUGCUUCCAGGAAAAGCCUCUAAGCAUCAGGUAACAUCAAAUCGUACCCCAAACCGACACAGGUGGUCAGGUAGAGAAUACCAAGGCGCUUGAGAGAACUCGGGUGAAGGAACUAGGCAAAAUGGUGCCGUAACUUCGGGAGAAGGCACGCUGAUAUGUAGGUGAAGCGACUUGCUCGUGGAGCUGAAAUCAGUCGAAGAUACCAGCUGGCUGCAACUGUUUAUUAAAAACACAGCACUGUGCAAACACGAAAGUGGACGUAUACGGUGUGACGCCUGCCCGGUGCCGGAAGGUUAAUUGAUGGGGUUAGCGGCAACGCGAAGCUCUUGAUCGAAGCCCCGGUAAACGGCGGCCGUAACUAUAACGGUCCUAAGGUAGCGAAAUUCCUUGUCGGGUAAGUUCCGACCUGCACGAAUGGCGUAAUGAUGGCCAGGCUGUCUCCACCCGAGACUCAGUGAAAUUGAACUCGCUGUGAAGAUGCAGUGUACCCGCGGCAAGACGGAAAGACCCCGUGAACCUUUACUAUAGCUUGACACUGAACAUUGAGCCUUGAUGUGUAG